rnacentral:rRNA from 1 species
GACGAACGCUGGCGGCGUGCCUAAUACAUGCAAGUAGAACGCUGAAGAGGGGAGCUUGCUCUUCUUGGAUGAGUUGCGAACGGGUGAGUAACGCGUAGGUAACCUGCCUUGUAGCGGGGGAUAACUAUUGGAAACGAUAGCUAAUACCGCAUAACAAUGGAUGACACAUGUCAUUUAUUUGAAAGGGGCAAUUGCUCCACUACAAGAUGGACCUGCGUUGUAUUAGCUAGUAGGUGAGGUAAUGGCUCACCUAGGCGACGAUACAUAGCCGACCUGAGAGGGUGAUCGGCCACACUGGGACUGAGACACGGCCCAGACUCCUACGGGAGGCAGCAGUAGGGAAUCUUCGGCAAUGGGGGCAACCCUGACCGAGCAACGCCGCGUGAGUGAAGAAGGUUUUCGGAUCGUAAAGCUCUGUUGUAAGUCAAGAACGGGUGUGAGAGUGGAAAGUUCACACUGUGACGGUAGCUUACCAGAAAGGGACGGCUAACUACGUGCCAGCAGCCGCGGUAAUACGUAGGUCCCGAGCGUUGUCCGGAUUUAUUGGGCGUAAAGCGAGCGCAGGCGGUUUGAUAAGUCUGAAGUUAAAGGCUGUGGCUCAACCAUAGUUCGCUUUGGAAACUGUCAAACUUGAGUGCAGAAGGGGAGAGUGGAAUUCCAUGUGUAGCGGUGAAAUGCGUAGAUAUAUGGAGGAACACCGGUGGCGAAAGCUGCUCUCUGGUCUGUAACUGACGCUGAGGCUCGAAAGCGUGGGGAGCGAACAGGAUUAGAUACCCUGGUAGUCCACGCCGUAAACGAUGAGUGCUAGGUGUUGGAUCCUUUCCGGGAUUCAGUGCCGCAGCUAACGCAUUAAGCACUCCGCCUGGGGAGUACGACCGCAAGGUUGAAACUCAAAGGAAUUGACGGGGGCCCGCACAAGCGGUGGAGCAUGUGGUUUAAUUCGAAGCAACGCGAAGAACCUUACCAGGUCUUGACAUCCCGAUGCUAUUUCUAGAGAUAGAAAGUUACUUCGGUACAUCGGUGACAGGUGGUGCAUGGUUGUCGUCAGCUCGUGUCGUGAGAUGUAGGGUUAAGUCCCGCAACGAGCGCAACCCCUAUUGUUAGUCGCCAUCAUUCAGUUGGGCACUCUAGCGAGACUGCCGGUAAUAAACCGGAGGAAGGUGGGGAUGACGUCAAAUCAUCAUGCCCCUUAUGACCUGGGCUACACACGUGCUACAAUGGUUGGUACAACGAGUUGCGAGUCGGUGACGGCGAGCUAAUCUCUUAAAGCCAAUCUCAGUUCGGAUUGUAGGCUGCAACUCGCCUACAUGAAGUCGGAAUCGCUAGUAAUCGCGGAUCAGCACGCCGCGGUGAAUACGUUCCCGGGCCU